GACGUAGGUGGCGAACGUUAUCCGGAAUUAUUGGGCGUAAAGGAUGCGUAGAUGGUGUAGUAAGUUAUCGGUGGUAAAUCGAGGCUCAACCUCGUGGAAGUCGGUAAUACUGCUAUGCUAGAGGAUAGGAGAGGUUAACGGAACUCCCUGUGGAGCGGUGAAAUGCGUAGAUAUAGGGAAGAACACCAAUAAGGCGAAGGCAGUUAACUAUUCUAUUCCUGACAUUGAGGCAUGAAAGCGUGGG
rnacentral:rRNA from 1 species